rnacentral:rRNA from 1 species
UACGGAGGGUGCAAGCGUUAUCCGGAUUCACUGGGUUUAAAGGGCGCGUAGGUGGGCUGGUAAGUCAGUGGUGAAAUCUCCGGGCUUAACUCGGAAACUGCCGUUGAUACUAUCAGUCUUGAAUAUUGUGGAGGUAAGCGGAAUAUGUCAUGUAGCGGUGAAAUGCUUAGAUAUGACAUAGAACACCGAUAGCGAAGGCAGCUUGCUGCACAAUUAUUGACACUGAGGCUCGAAAGCGUGGGGAUCAAACAGG